rnacentral:lncRNA from 1 species
AAAGAACCAAACGGAUUUAUGGUUUGCAAGCGGGCUUAGGCAUAAGCAGAAAUCCUGGAACAUUUCAGCCAAAAAUCUACAAACAUAGCGAACAAAACAAGGUUCACAGUGCUUCUGGUACACAAUCAUCUAUCUUUCUUUUGUCCACCUUACAAAAUGGAUAGCAAAGUUGAUACAUUCAAGGUGAAGCCAGGACAGCGGAUGCUAACUACUACAUUGCAGCUCUCGAAUUUUGUUUCAGCCAUUAGUCCUUUGAAGUUAUAACAAGCAGUCCGAAUGCGCCAAUAAGAA